GAUGAACGCUGGCGGCGUGCUUAAUACAUGCAAGUCGAACGGAGUGUCGCAAGACACUGAGUGGCGAACGGGUGAGUAACGCGUUGGUGACCUGCCCCGAAGAGAGGGAUAACAGUUCGAAAGGACUGCUAAUACCGCAUGUGAUCUGGGGAGUUAGAGAGCCCAGAUGAAAAGAGAAAUCUGCUUUGGGAGGGGCCUGCGUCCCAUCAGCUAGUUGGUAAGGUAAAAGCUUACCAAGGCGACGACGGGUAGGGGACCUGAGAGGGUGAUCCCCCACAAUGGCACUGAAACACGGGCCAUACGCCUACGGGUGGCAGCAGUAGGGAAUAUUGCACAAUGGGCGAAAGCCUGAUGCAGCAACGCCGCGUGCGCGAUGAAGGCCUUCGGGUUGUAAAGCGCUUUUCUGGAGGACGAGGAAGGACGGUACUCCAGGAAGAAGGCUCGGCUAACUACGUGCCAGCAGCCGCGGUAAAACGUAGGAGCCAAGCGUUAUCCGAAUUCACUGGGCGUAAAGCGCGAGCAGGCGGACCGUUAAGUUGGAUGUGAAAUCUCCUGGCUCAACUGGGAGAGGACGUUCAAGACUGGCGGACUAGAGGGCAGUAGAGGGAGGUGGAGUUCCCGGUGUAGUGGUGAAAUGCGUAGAUAUCGGGAGGAACACCAGUGGCGAAAGCGGCCUCCUGGACUGAACCUGACGCUGAGAUGCGAAAGCUAGGGGAGCAAACGGGAUUAGAAACCCCGGUAGUCCUAGCCGUAAACGAUGUAGACUGGGCGUGGGUGGGGUAAAAGCCGUCCGUGCCGAAGCUAACGCGAUAAGUCUACCGCCUGGGGACUACGGCCGCAAGGUUA
rnacentral:rRNA from 1 species